AUACGUAGGGGGCGAGCGUUGUCCGGAAUGAUUGGGCGUAAAGGGCGCGUAGGCGGCCCGGUAAGUCUGGAGUGAAAGUCCUGCUUUUAAGGUGGGAAUUGCUUUGGAUACUGUCGGGCUUGAGUGCAGGAGAGGUAAGUGGAAUUCCCAGUGUAGCGGUGAAAUGCGUAGAGAUUGGGAGGAACACCAGUGGCGAAGGCGACUUACUGGACUGUAACUGAUGCUGAGGCGCGAAAGUGUGGGGAGCAAACAGGAUUAGAUACCCUGGCAGUCCACACUGUAAACGAUGAAUGCUAGGUGUAGGGGGUAUCGACCCCUUCUGUGCCGCAGUCAACACAAUAAGCAUUCCGCCUGGGGAGUACGGCCGCAAGGUUGAAACUCAAAUGAAUUGACGGGG
rnacentral:rRNA from 1 species